rnacentral:tRNA from 1 species
GCGGAGAUGGCGGAAUAGGCAGACGCGCAGGCUUCAGGUGCCUGUGGUGGCAACAUCGUGUGGGUUCAAGUCCCAUUCUCCGCA